ACACAUGCAGUCGAGCGAGACCUUCGGGUCUAGCGGCGGACGGGUGAGUAACGCGUGGGAACGUGCCCUUCUCUACGGAAUAGUCCCGGGAAACUGGGUUUAAUACCGUAUACGCCCUUCGGGGGAAAGAUUUAUCGGAGAAGGAUCGGCCCGCGUUAGAUUAGGUAGUUGGUGGGGUAAUGGCCUACCAAGCCUACGAUCUAUAGCUGGUUUGAGAGGAUGAUCAGCCACACUGGGACUGAGACACGGCCCAGACUCCUACGGGAGGCAGCAGUGGGGAAUCUUAGACAAUGGGGGCAACCCUGAUCUAGCCAUGCCGCGUGAGUGAUGAAGGCCUUAGGGUCGUAAAGCUCUUUCGCUGGGGAAGAUAAUGACUGUACCCAGUAAAGAAACCCCGGCUAACUCCGUGCCAGCAGCCGCGGUAAUACGGAGGGGGUUAGCGUUGUUCGGAAUUACUGGGCGUAAAGCGCGCGUAGGCGGAUUGGAAAGUUGGGGGUGAAAUCCCGGGGCUCAACCUCGGAACUGCCUCCAAAACUCCCAGUCUUGAGUUCGAGAGAGGUGAGUGGAACUCCGAGUGUAGAGGUGAAAUUCGUAGAUAUUCGGAAGAACACCAGUGGCGAAGGCGGCUCACUGGCUCGAUACUGACGCUGAGGUGCGAAAGUGUGGGGAGCAAACAGGAUUAGAUACCCUGGUAGUCCACACCGUAAACGAUGAAUGCCAGUCGUCGGCAAGCAUGCUUGUCGGUGACACACCUAACGGAUUAAGCAUUCCGCCUGGGGAGUACGGUCGCAAGAUUAAAA
rnacentral:rRNA from 1 species